rnacentral:rRNA from 1 species
UACGUAGGUGGCAAGCGUUGUCCGGAUUUACUGGGCGGAAAGAGCGCGCAGGCGGUCGUUCAAGUCGCGUGUGAAAGCCCCCGGCUCAACUGGGGAGGGUCACGCGAUACUGAUCGACUCGAAGGCAGGAGAGGGUAGUGGAAUUCCCGGUGUAGUGGUGAAAUGCGCAGAUAUCAGGAGGAACACCGGUGGCGAAGGCGGAUCUCUGGGCCAUUACUGACGCUGAGGAGCGAAAGCGUGGGGAGCGAACAGG